rnacentral:lncRNA from 1 species
CCUUGAAGCAGUUUAACUCCUCUCACUUUCUAACUUAAAAGAAAUAAAUAAAACGCAAGGUAUAUUCUUUCUCUGCUGUUCAAAUUUGCAUACGUAGAUCCCAAACUGAGCUGGCAUAGCCUGAAGGGCUGGGAUAGUUUAUGCUGAUGAACAAUGUAAAGGGCACCUACAGGAUUCAAGCCAAGAGGUUCCUUUGCUUCUGCACCUGUAGGCAAAUCAAUCCCUUUGGGUUUCUUUUCUCCUAUUGAUAAACUGCUGGCACAAGCAACUCCUCUCUCCCUACCUGACACAGUUCCAAGUUCUAUGGAGUGUUCUGAGCACCCAGAGUGAAUAUUCCAUAAAUAACAGGCACUAUAGACCCUCACUACAGCUAACAUUUUAAUAACAGCCUCUGCUUUUUGAGCACUUACUGAAUGUCAGGCACUGUGCCAUGCAGAAUUGUGCCCAAGAACACAGACUUUCAAUUUAGACAGACAGGAGUUGGAAUCCAAGCUUCAGCACCUACCUAUGAGCAUGCUGCUGCCUGUACAGUGAGAAGAGGGCAUUUUAGUGCUCAGAGUACCAAAGUCUGGGGUGAAGAAAUAGAGGAGAUAACAGUUCACUCUUCUCCUGGCCGAGUGCCACUGAAUACUUCCUUGUUACACCACUCCUUGGGAUAUUAAUACUCAGACUGUGCAACCUUCUGGGGCAAGGAAGAUGCCCAACUCAGGACUCACGACUCUGAAGAGCAUGCUGGUUCCACUCAGUACACAUGGAUUGUAUCAGGCUCCGGGGGCUGAGCAGGGGCUGAGUUCCUUGCAUGGGCAGGUAGGAUGUUUGUGCUGAGAAAAUGAGAUGGAGCUCACAGACUCUUGCUUCCAGACUUACUUGAGAUUCGACUGGAUGCUCUUGGUCUUCUCACAAACCGUCUCAGAUCUUCACUAAAUUCGAAAAGACUGGAUCAUCCAGUAGCCACAUGACAUAUAUUUGGAACUUUGGGAAAGCCUAGUCCCAGAACAGAAUUUUUGUUAGCCAUGUAGCCAUAGGCAAAUCAGUAACUUGCUGAAUCUCAGAUCUGGCAUCCAUGAAAUGGAAAAUCAUCUCCCAGCCAUCGCCAUUGCUUGAUUGAAUGAUGACUUAGGGGAAGAAAAUAAAUCACUCUUUUGGGUUUUGCUGUAUUUUAUGUGGUCAGAACAAUGACAACAUCUGGGUCAAGAAGAGACAUGAUGGCUGCUUAAUCCCUGCUGUCUGGAAUUGUAGACAAACCCUGGCCUGUCAUGGACCUCAAUUUACCCAUCUGGGAAAUGGAAGAUCAUAGCAAAGCAGAACAUCUCAAAGGUUUCAACUGAAGUGGUCUUCAUAAUAAAAGCAAAUAUUGUUAUAUGCCAAGCUCCUCU